rnacentral:misc_RNA from 1 species
UCCCCGUUCACCGGGGCAGUCCCCUCAGAGUGCCCAGCAUGACCUGGUAGCAACAAAGGGCAAGGGUUGCGCUCGUUGCGGGACUUAACCCAACAUCUCACGACACGAGCUGACGACAGCCAUGCAGCACCUGUGCAUAGGCUCCGAAGAGAGCUUUCACCCCCGGUCAUUCUGCAUUCUAGCCCAGGUAAGGUUCUUCGCGUUGCGUCGAAUUAAACCACAUGCUCCACCGCUUGUGCGGGUCCCCGUCAAUUCCUUUGAGUUUUAAUCUUGCGACCGUACUCCCCAGGCGGAAUGCUUAAUGCGUUAGCUGCGACACUGACGAGCAUGCUCGCCAACGUCUAGCAUUCAUCGUUUACGGCGUGGACUAC